GUCUAUGGCCAUGCUACCCUGAACAUGCUCGAUCUCGUCUGAUCUCAGAAGCUAAGCAGGGUCGGGCCUGGUUAGUACUUGGAUGGAGCCACCUUGGAAUGCUAGGUGCAAUAGUCG
rnacentral:rRNA from 1 species